UACGUAGGGUGCAAGCGUUAAUCGGAAUUACUGGGCGUAAAGCGUGCGCAGGCGGUUUUGUAAGCCAGAUGUGAAAGCCCCGGGCUCAACCUGGGAACUGCGUUUGGAACUACAAGACUAGAGUACGGUAGAGGGGGAUGGAAUUCCGCGUGUAGCAGUGAAAUGCGUAGAUAUGCGGAGGAACACCGAUGGCGAAGGCAAUCCCUGGACCUGUACUGACGCUCAUGCACGAAAGCGUGGGGAGCAAACAGGAUUAGAAACCCCUGUAGU
rnacentral:rRNA from 1 species